rnacentral:rRNA from 1 species
UACGUAGGUGGCAAGCGUUGUCCGGAAUUAUUGGGCGUAAAGCGCGAGCAGGCGGUUCUUUAAGUCUGAUGUGAAAGCCCACGGCUCAACCGUGGAGGGUCAUUGGAAACUGGAGAACUUGAGUACAGAAGAGGAAAGCGGAAUUCCACGUGUAGCGGUGAAAUGCGUAGAGAUGUGGAGGAACACCAGUGGCGAAGGCGGCUUUCUGGUCUGUAACUGACGCUGAGGCGCGAAAGCGUGGGGAGCAAACAGG